rnacentral:rRNA from 1 species
ACGGAAGGCAGCAGUGGGGAAUAUUGCACAAUGGGGGAAACCCUGAUGCAGCGACGCCGCGUGAGUGAAGAAGUAUUUCGGUAUGUAAAGCUCUAUCAGCAGGAAAGAAAAUGACGGUACCUGACUAAGAAGCCCCGGCUAACUACGUGCCAGCAGCCGCGGUAAUACGUAGGGGGCAAGCGUUAUCCGGAUUUACUGGGUGUAAAGGGAGCGUAGACGGCUUUGCAAGUCUGGAGUGAAAGCCCGGGGCUCAACCCCGGAACUGCUUUGGAAACUGUAGAGCUAGAGUGCAGGAGAGGUAAGUGGAAUUCCUAGUGUAGCGGUGAAAUGCGUAGAUAUUAGGAGGAACACCAGUGGCGAAGGCGGCUUACUGGACUGUAACUGACGUUGAGGCUCGAAGGCGUGGGGAGCAAACAGGAUUAGAUACCCUGGUA